rnacentral:rRNA from 1 species
UACAGAGGGGGCAAGCGUUGUUCGGAAUUACUGGGCGUAAAGGGCGCGUAGGCGGCCCGCUAAGUCGAACGUGAAAUCCCCGAGCUCAACUCGGGAACUGCGUCCGAUACUGGUGGGCUUGAAUCCGGGAGAGGGAUGCGGAAUUCCAGGUGUAGCGGUGAAAUGCGUAGAUAUCUGGAGGAACACCGAUGGCGAAGGCAGGUCUCUGGGCAUUAACUGACGCUGAGGAGCGAAAGCAUGGGGAGCGAACAGG